CGGAUGCGAUCAUAUCAGCACUAAAGCACCGGAUCCCAUCAGAACUCCGAAGUUAAGCGUGCUUGGGCGAGAGUAGUACUAGGAUGGGUGACCUCCUGGGAAGUCCUCGUGUUGCAUCCCUC
rnacentral:rRNA from 1 species